GGGUGUAGAAUAAGUGGGAGCUCCGGCGCCGUUGAAAUACCACUACCUUUAUUGUCUUUUUACUUAUUCAAUGAGGCGGAGCUGGGAUGAAAGUCCCACCUUUUGGCUUCAAGGUCUUUUACAGGCCGAUCCGGGUUGA
rnacentral:rRNA from 1 species